GACGAACGCUGGCGGCGUGCUUAACACAUGCAAGUCGAACGGAAAGGCCCUGCUUGCAGGGUACUCGAGUGGCGAACGGGUGAGUAACACGUGGGUGAUCUGCCCUGCACUUCGGGAUAAGCCUGGGAAACUGGGUCUAAUACCGGAUAGGAGCCAUUUUUAGUGUGAUGGUUGGAAAGUUUUUUCGGUGUAGGAUGAGCUCGCGGCCCAUCAGCUUGUUGGUGGGGUAAUGGCCUACCAAGGCGGCGACGGGUAGCCGGCCUGAGAGGGUGGACGGCCACAUUGGGACUGAGAUACGGCCCAGACUCCUACGGGAGGCAGCAGUGGGGAAUAUUGCACAAUGGGCGCAAGCCUGAUGCAGCGACGCCGCGUGGGGAUGACGGCCUUCGGGUUGUAAACUCCUUUCGCUAGGGACGAAGCUUUUUGUGACGGUACCUAGAUAAGAAGCACCGGCUAACUACGUG
rnacentral:rRNA from 1 species